GACAGAGGGUGCAAGCGUUGUUCGGAAUCACUGGGCGUAAAGCGCGUGUAGGCGGUGAUGUGUGUCUGACGUGAAAACCCUCGGCUUAACCGAGGAAAUGCAUCAGAAACUACAUUACUCGAGUGCGAGAGAGGAUGGCGGAAUUCCCAGAGUAGAGGUGAAAUUCGUAGAUACUGGGAGGAACACCAGUGGCGAAGGCGGCCAUCUGGAUCGCAACUGACGCUAGAACGCGAAAGCGUGGGUAGCAAACAGG
rnacentral:rRNA from 1 species